AACCUGUGUACUCUCUGCAAUCAAAAAACCUUUUGAGACCUCUUCUCUAGAAAAAUUCUCAAUCCAAAAAUUAUUGUAUAGCUGAAAUACUCUUGUGAAUAUUCAAGGUAUUCUUUUACUUUCUUAAAUUUAUUUUAGAACUUUAGGGACUUCCCGAAAGGAAAAUCCUUAGUUGUAAAUCUUUUCAAAAGAUGAAUUUAUAAAUCCCUAAUUUAUGUUCUCUUGUGUUUAUGUUUAUGUUUUUAAGUAAAUAUUUGUUAUGUUUCUCAUUUCAUCCUAUGCAUAUAAUAAAAGUAUAACUUGAUUUCUAGAAGUCAUACUGUUUUUAGGUUAAUCUUGAGUGACCCAGAUGAAUGAAAAUUUUUGGCCGGAGUGAGCCUUUUGGUGUUUUCUAGAGAUGCUGGGGAAAGGUAAAAAAUUAAUCUAAAAUUUUUAUAAGGGAGUGCCACGGGUAACCUUAUAAAAAGGAAUAAGGUUCAAAUUUAUAUGUCAUAGGUGAUGAAAAAAAAAGGGAAUUUAUAUAUGAUUCUUAAGAAAGAUUUAUAGAAAACUAAGGAGAGUACUGAGUAGUAUUAAAGCUAUUAAAAGUAAAAAAGUUUGAACAAAACAGCAUAAUUAACAGCCAUUUAAAACAGCAUACCCCCCCUAUAUAUAUAUAUAUAUAAUUCGAUGCUUUAUCUUAUUUGGUUUAAGUAAUUAACUAUGGUCAAUUGGAUGGUUGUAGAAAAAUGAAUAGAUUAAGAGAUGUAAAUUCGUAAUAUUUCAAAUUAUUUGAAACGUUUUAUAUUAUUAUUUUUAGAUUUUGAAUAUUUUAUUUAAUAAAAUUUUAGCAUCGUUAAUCAUUAUGUAUUUUUAAUAUUUAAAGAACCCAUUUUAAAAUUGGCCUAACAUCCCCAAAAUUUCAAGGUGGACUUUGAACCUAGGAAAUGCUAUGCUUCGGGACAUGGUUCUUUUGCUUGCUGUCCAAUAGUUUUUAUUAUUUAUUAUUUUUCAAGUUUAUAUCAGUCCUAUUUGAUCCUCAUUAAAUUUUACUUCGUAUUUAUCUCUCCUAUUUCUAACUACACAAUCUUCUAUAAAAUAAUAUUAUACGUAAACAAAAUUUUUUUCCUUCUUUUUAAUCACUCAUUUUUCAUAAAAGUAUUAUUUCACCUAUUUUCAUUUUAAAAAAUGGGGGUCAAACAUGGGUCGAUAUACUAAGCUCUCGUUUGAUGGUGCUAUUAUGUGGUCAAAACAAUAUUUUGAAAAGUAAUUUUUAGGAGAAUGUGUGGUUAAAAGGUAAAGUAAAAUUUUGGAUUUACGUGCAGAAUAUUUUAUUGUAUGAAUAUAUGGUUGAAAAUGAAUAUAAAGAUAAAAGAGUUUUCAAAUAAUGGUUGCCAAACAUAGGUUAAAUAGCUAAUGUCGAACAAAAUACCAAUUAGUUUUUUCAUUGAAUAGCUUCUUUUAGGGGCGGUAUGUUUCUAUUUUUUGGUUCCGCUUCUAAGAGAACCGAAUCAUGAGCCAAUAAUUUUUUUCAUAAAAGAAUUAAUGAUAUGGAAUCAAAUUGGAGCCAAAUCUUUCGAUUUUGGAUUGAUUUGAUUUAGUUUAAUUCCACUAUUUAAAACUUCAAAUGAUAAAUAUAAAUUAAAAUUUAUCACCAUAUUCAUAAGUUAGUAAUUUAUGUUUAAAUAAAAAAAUGAACAUCAAACUUUUAGCAAGUUCAAAUUAUCAAUCGUCAAAUAAAAUAUUGUAUAAUAAAAUUAAUUAUAAAAGUCCAAACUAACAAACAAAACAUAUUCAUAAUUUGAAUACACAAACAUCAAGUUUAAUCAUCAUACAAAAUAUUGUCUAAUAACAACGAUUCAAUAAUACAGACGAAUGAGUGACUAAAAAAAAUAAUAGUAAAUAAAAUUAAAUCAACAGUAACUUCUUGAAAUUCCGGUGUUUGAAUUAAAAAUAAAGUCUUGGAAAACAGUAGCUUUGAAUUUGAAUUAAACAAAUCUGAUCUGAAUUUAAAUACAUCAAAUUAGACCUUCGAAUUUCGUGCGUCUAGUGUUUUAGAAUCUGUCCAUUUUCAUCAACAGCAGCUUCUUGAAAUUCUAGUAUCUUCCUCUGCUUAGACUGCUUGAGCUGUAGCACUUAGAGCCUGUUUUUCUUCCAUCAUGGUAAAUUAUAUAGUUUUGAAUAGUAUUUUUUGAAAAAUGUGUGGUUAAAAUUUAAAGAAAUUUUAUUGAUUUAUGUGUAGAAUAUUUUAUUAUGUGAAUAUAUGACGAAAAUUGUUACUGUAACAAAUAAUUUAAUUCAUUAAAUGAUGACAAACAGGGACUUAAUCUUUUUUAAUAUAACAACCAAAACGACAAAUUAAACCUUAUUAAAAGGAUAUUUGAGUGCACUUGGAACAUUCUGGUAUUCAGAUUCCACGAGGGCAUUUAUUAAUUUGGAUAAUAUUAAACUACUAUGUCAACAACUUCAAAACGUGUAGAACAACAAAUAAUUUAUCUAAAAUUUCUUUAUAACGUAUGAAUUUCGUAUAAAUUUGACCCACACACAAAGAAAGAAGAUCUAAACACUGGAAAUUACAUAAAAUCAGGUACUUAAAUUUUCAAAUUCAAAAUUUAAGGAUGAGAUUUAUUUAUGCACAAAUCAGGUAUUAAUAAAUAUAUCCAUCAAUUUCAAACCCAUUUCCCGUCUCUCUCUUCUCUCUCUAAACACACACAGUGACAGUAGCAGUCUUCUUUCUGGCGUUUGUUUUGUGCAAUGCAGCAGCACCGGUGCUGCUCCCAGCGUGAGUGUCGGUGCUACAACAGCAGUAGUGUUUCUGGCGUGCGUAGCUGCUGCUUUAUGGGUUUUUUGGGUGGGAUGCUGCGAUGAAGCUGCUCGCACUCGAUCGUUGCAGAUGAUGGCACUGUAGAUCUUGUCGCUGCAGCGAUGAUGACAAUGCGAUGACGGUCGCUGCAAUCGCAACUUCAAAUGGAGGUACAUGUGAGGUUGGGUUCUUUUUUUCGCUGCAGCGGUGCAGCGCUCAUUACGAACAUUGUGGUGUGGUUUGGCGAUUUGGUGGCGCGAGUUCGAUCUGGCGGUAUUGUGUGGUGUGGCGAUGCGGUUGCUUGAGUUGGUGGCUGUAGCACUGUAUAGGCGAUGGUGUGGUGGUCGGCAACGAUGCAUUGUGGUUAUGGUGGUGGCGGCGAGUCUGUGGAAUCUUUGAUAGGGGUGGUGGUUGGGUAUGGUGUAAUUGGAGAUUGAAGAGAUGGUGGUGGUGUGUGCUGUGGGUGGUGCGGUGGUGGUGUCUUGUGAGCGUGGUGGUGUUAUAGCACUAUGGUACUCAUGACGGUGGUUGCAGGAGGUGGUGUGCUCAUAUUGGUGAGGUGAUGGUGGUUUUGAAGGCCGUGGUGCCCAACUAUUGAAUUCAUCAUCAAUUUUGAGAGGUUUAUAUAUAUUACAAAUUGCUUAUAUUUUUAUCUUAUAACUUACUAUUUUUGAAAUGUUAAAUACAAUAUAGUCGUAUUUAUUCAAAACUUUCAAAAUUAUUAUUCAUUAAUUUGUUUGGUUUUUCAAAUCUUUUUGAAUAAAGAUUCAAUCCUCUACAAAAUAUGAAGGAUUUCAUAUUAAAAGAAGCAUUGAGUUAUUUAUUUGGGAAGAUGUUGAUAGUUGAGAAUUGAUUAUCACCAUUAAUGUUUUGAAUAAUUUCUUCCAAUCAAACCUAAUAAAUAUUUUCAAGGAUUGUCUCUUUAAUGAUUUACUGUGCAAAUUAUUUGGAAAGACGAUUUUCUUAUUCGGUAGUACAAUAUUGAUGACCACACUUAAUGUGAUGAAGAAUUUGUUCCAAUCACCCACGUAUAUGCUUCUCGUCAAUUUCGAUAGUUCAAUUGUUGAAUUCGAUAAUUAAAAACCGUAGGGUUAGACAUUUUAGC
rnacentral:lncRNA from 1 species